ACUGUCAAGCUGUCAAGCAGUCUUGUUGUCAUAAAAAAUGAGGCGUCCUUUUGUAAAGGUAGCUCGUAGCUAAUACAUGGAAGCUGGUAGCCCUUCAGCAGUGGGAACGGGCUAUGUUUCGGCAUCCCUCCGGAACGCAACAAACGAUCGACAGCACGGUUCGUGUACGUGUACGUGUGGAUUGCUGGAAGGUUGCUGGUAGCUGGUAGCUGGUAACCUUUCAGCAGCGGGAACCUUUCAGCAGCGGGUGUUUCCGCAUCCCUCCGGAACGCUACAAACGAUCGACAGUGCGGUUUUUUUUAUUGUAAAAAUAAAUAAAAGUAAAAUUGUUAGCAGCACGGCUCGUCUUCUUGUUAAAGAAGCGAAUGAGCUAGA